GGGGGGUUAGCUCAGUUGGGAGAGCGCCGCGUUCGCAACGCGGAGGUCGAGGGUUCGAAUCCCUUACCCUCCACCA
rnacentral:tRNA from 3 species